rnacentral:rRNA from 1 species
AAACCAACUGGGAUUACCUUAGUAACGGCGAGUGAAGCGGUAAAAGCUCAAAUUUGAAAUCUGGUACUUUCAGUGCCCGAGUUGUAAUUUGUAGAAUUUGUCUUUGAUUAGGUCCUUGUCUAUGUUCCUUGGAACAGGACGUCAUAGAGGGUGAGAAUCCCGUUUGGCGAGGAUACCUUUUCUCUGUAAGACUUUUUCGAAGAGUCGAGUUGUUUGGGAAUGCAGCUCAAAGUGGGUGGUAAAUUCCAUCUAAAGCUAAAUAUUGGCGAGAGACCGAUAGCGAACAAGUACAGUGAUGGAAAGAUGAAAAGAACUUUGAAAAGAGAGUGAAAAAGUACGUGAAAUUGUUGAAAGGGAAGGGCAUCUGAUCAGACAUGGUGUUUUUGCAUGCACUCGCCUCUCGUGGGCUUGGGCCUCUCAAAAAUUUCACUGGGCCAACAUCAAUUCUGGCAGCAGGAUAAAUCAUUAAGAAUGUAGCUACUUCGGUAGUGUUAUAGCUUUUUGGAAUACUGUUAGCCGGGUA